GCUUACGGCCACACCGCCUGGUUCACGCUUGAUCUCGGAAGCUAAGAUAGGUUGGGCCUGGUUAGUACUUGGACGGGAGACCGCCUGGGAUUACCAGGUGCUGUAAGCU
ensembl:rRNA 5S_rRNA 5S ribosomal RNA